rnacentral:lncRNA from 10 species
AUACUCUCGGUAAAUGAAUGAGGAGAGCCCCAUGUGGGAUUACAAACUUGCUGGAAAUGGAUGAGAAACCUUCUGCUCUGCUGGAGUUUAUCUUGAGUGUGCCUUAAAAUUCCAUUUCAUGGAGAACUGUGCGUGGUUGAAUUUUGAUUGAUUACUCAAUUAACUGAUGUAUUGGUAGAGUGAUUAAGAAAGAAGACUUUGGGAUCAGACCAACCUGGUUUUGAAUUCAAGCUCAGCAACUUACUAGGCUCAAUUUUCCUACAUAAUUAAGAGUUUGGAAUUCGGGCAAUAUCAAGAACCACAUCUGUCCUGAAAUCAAUUAUCUCUGUUUGAAACACAAGAAAUAAGAAGACCAUUUUGAGAAGAACAGAGAGUAGCCUUAAGAAAAUCCCUGUCGCAAGCACUCUGGGAUUUGGACUCAAAUGCUAAUUAUACAGAACCACUUGGGUGCCCAGCUGCUGUCCAUUCUCUACACUUAUCCCACCUGAUGGAAGGCUGUUAAGAAAAACAUCACUGCAAUGCCUAAUAAACAGACAUGGGUCCCAGACCCAAUAAGAGUGAAACCAUCCCCCUAUUUAAAUGAAAUUAUGGCUGAUGAGAAAGACAAAUUAAUUUCUCUGUCCCUAGUAUUACACAAAACUUUGGAUGCUGCCAUUGUUACAAUUUUAUUUUCCCCAGGAGCUCAGAGUCCCACCUUCAUUCUUUUUGUUUAAUGCUUAAGCUUGCCUGUCCACCUAUGGAAGACUAGAAUGAGCAAAGACCAUGUAUUCAAUGAUCUGUAAAUCUAACAGGAAACAAUAUAAUAAAUAUAUUGUGUUUGCUAACCAAAUCUGUGAAUGAUUAGAUCGACUGGUUAAUGAUUAGAUGGAUUAACACAUCAUUUCUAUUUUCUCUCUCCUCCCCUACUUCUUGUUUUAAUGAUACCUUCCAAGUUUUAUUUCUCCAAGCCUAACCCCUUACAUAAUACAAGAGGACAACAGUUUGCAAAAUAAAUAUCUGUUGGCCCUAACUGGUAAAUACUGAAAUAGAUUUCAAGUAAUGUGAGUGUUUUUGAAACCACCUAAAUCUGUAAGCCACCCUGCAAGGAACAAGGGUAGCAAAGUGAAUAAGCCAGACAUGUAAAAAUAAAGAUGACAAAAUGGAAGGCAAUUAAUGCCUGUAAUGGAGGUGGGGAAGGGGGGAAUGACAAGUUAAUAAGAAAUUUAUUUUUAAAUGCUAUCAUCUGCCAUAAAAUAUCCAUGCUUAUUUUAGAAAAUAUGUAAAAUGUUUAAGAAUUAAACAUCUUUAAAAAAAUCACAUGAACUCAUCACCCUGCAACAAAACACACACAGAUGAGUGCACACACUUAAACACACAUUAAUUUUCAAUUAGUAUAUAAAGUUAAUAUCCUGCUAAGUACAAGAUACUAUAUCAUGAGCACUUUGUCUC